UACAGAGGUCCCAAGCGUUGUUCGGAUUCACUGGGCGUAAAGGGUGCGUAGGUGGCGCUGUAAGUCGGGUGUGAAAUCCUGAGGCUUAACCUCGGAACUGCAUUCGAUACUGCGGUGCUUGAGGACUGGAGAGGAGACUGGAAUUCAUGGUGUAGCAGUGAAAUGCGUAGAGAUCAUGAGGAAGACCAGUGGCGAAGGCGGGUCUCUGGACAGUUCCUGACACUGAGGCACGAAGGCCAGGGGAGCAAACGGG
rnacentral:rRNA from 1 species